UCUGCAACGGACAACCGUAGAUCAACAAUGUCAGUGUCUGGUGUCCAUCCCAUCAUAUAUUGGAUGGGAGUAGUAGUAAUCCAGACCGUCCAUCUAACAAAACCCACACUAGAUGGCCCACUUUGAUUUUAAAAAAUCUCAACCCUGAUGCAUCCAUGCCGUCCGUGAUUGGUCUCACUCGAUGGACGGUCCAGAUCACUACUCGUGGCCUCAAGGCCUACCAGAUUCGGAUUACGUACCACGUGAUUGACUGUCCGGCGCAGGCGUGUCACGUGACCUGCCGCCCAUCCCAAACACCGACCCUACCGCGCCUCUAAACCUCUCCACGACUCCUUUCCCGGACCCAUCGCCUCCGGAAACUGACACACGCUCCGCCACAGGCGGCUGCACUGACCCACUCUCCGGCUCCUCCCUCUUCUUUUGAAUCGCAUCGCAGAUCAUCUCCGACAACGCCUUAUGCUCGUCCCCAGGCCGGAGCUUCUCCGCUACAAACUCACUCACCGAAACUCCCGUAUCGGACCGCUUCACGCCACUCUCCGUUUCCGUAACUUUAACUUCCGACUCGGGCGAUUCCGACCGGUUUCCGCUCCCUUGUAUUUUCGACACGACCGCGCAUCCCGCGUCCGCGACCUUCCCGUACACUGGCGCGAGCUUCUCCACGAUCCUGCGGCCGUACUCCGUGCCCCCCGAGGACGGUG